GAUGAAGAACGUAGCGAAAUGCGAUAAGUAGUGUGAAUUGCAGAAUUCAGUGAAUCAUCGAAUCUUUGAACGCACAUUGCGCCCCUUGGUAUUCCAUGGGGCAUGCCUGUUCGAGCGUCAUUUGUACCUUCAAGCUCUGCUUGGUGUUGGGUGUUUGUCUCGCCUCCGCGUGUAGACUCGCCUCAAAACGAUUGGCAGCCGGCGUAUUGAUUUCGGAGCGCAGUACAUCUCGCGCUUUGCACUCACAACGACGGCGUCCAGAAGUACAUUUUUACACUCUUGACCUCGGAUCAGGUAGGGAUACCCGCUGAACUUAAGCAUAUCAAUAAGCGGAGGA
rnacentral:misc_RNA from 1 species